CCAACUAGAAUGAAAAGAUAAAGACAAAAAUCAACCAAGAAGAUAAGGAUGAAAAGAAGCUAGCUGGAAAAUAGAUAACAGGAGAUAGAAAGCAACAUAAAAAAAGACAGACUAAUGGAAAAAUAAAGGCAAGAGACAAGGAGACAAGAUAUUAAAGCUGUGAAAGUGACAUGUGAAUUAUUAGAUAGUUUUUAGACGUAAAUUAUUGUAUAGCAUUAUGAGCUUUUGACUUUUUUGGCAAGUGCCAUUAUUAGUUUUUCACUUUUUUGACAAGUGUAGAAUAGGAAUAGUGUUCGGAUUUUUAUUUUGUAGAUUAUAAAUGUAAGCCAAUCGCCAGAUCUAAGGCAAGACUUUCUAAACGAAAAGCAAGCCUCCUUGUACACAACCAAAAAUCUCUCAAAAUAUUUAAUAAGAUAUUCAGUUUUAUACUCAACUAUGGAAAAUCAAAGCUCAGAAUCAUCAAACCUACAAGAACAGGUGAUGAAUGGCGAAGAAGAAAGAAUUGAAGAUGGUGGUGAAAAAGAAAUUGAUGGCGAUAAUGGUGGUGUAUGGUGAAGAAGAAGAAGAGAGAAAAAGAAUUGAAUGUGAUAUGGCGAUGGUGGCGAGCAAAGAAAUAAUGGUUAUUGUUAUUUCUUAUUUUGAUGAUGUGUAGCUGACAACAAGGGACCAGGUCCCUAGGUCUUCAUGAAUCCAGUAGAGCUGUCACUAUCUGGCGCAGUUUUGUCUUCUAGUGUAACAAACUGAGCAGGUGAGCUUGUACCUUUGAGGACACCUGACCCAAUCAGAUUUAUACCCUAAUCAUUAUUCCACUAUAAAAGGAAAAGAAUAUUUCUCAAUUGGUGAGUUUUUGCAAGAUCAAAAUAUAAAAGUGAGAUAGAGGCGAAAACUCAAGUUUGCAACAUCGCUCAAGCUUUUGAUUUAUGUAUAAAUUGAAAGAGAGAGUUCUUGAGUAAAGUCUUGAGUCUGUAAUCGAAUUACUCAUGUUAUAAGAGUAAUAUUUUUUCCUUGUAUUCUUGAGAGUGCUUAGGUAGAGUUGCUUGAGUUUAAUAUUGGUUAGAAUUAAUCAGUAUUGAGUUGUGUUCUUGACAAAGUUGUUAAGAUUGUUUUGUAAUAGAGUUAUUGCAAGUAGGUGGAGCCUAGAUUUAUGUUCAAAUAGAGUCUGUAAUCAAGAGUUUGAUUAUAGUGAAUUAUUGAGUACUUGCGAGGGCAAGCCAUGGUUUUUCUCCUCUUGAGCAAUGAGGUUUCCAUGCUAAAUA